AAAACGACUCUCGGCAACGGAUAUCUCGGCUCUCGCAUCGAUGAAGAACGUAGCGAAAUGCGAUACUUGGUGUGAAUUGCAGAAUCCCGUGAACCAUCGAGUCUUUGGACGCAAGUUGCGCCCCAAGCCUUCUGGCCGAGGGCACGUCUGCCUGGGUGUCACAA
rnacentral:rRNA from 1 species